GAUGAACGCUGGCGGCGUGCUUAACACAUGCAAGUCGAACGGGAUCCCAGUGGUGCUUGCCCUUUAUGGUGAGAGUGGCGAACGGGUGAGUAACACGCGAGUAACCUGUCCUUUUCUUUGGGAUAAGCAUUCGAAAGGGUGUUUAAUACCUUCUGUUCUGUCUGCCUCGCAUGGGGUGGGUGGUAAAGGCUUUGGCCGUAUUUGGGUGGGCUCGCGGUCUAUCAGCUUGUUGGGGUGGUGAUGGCGUACCACGGCUGUGAGGGGUAGGGGGUCUGGGAGGGUGGUCGAUCAGAGUGAGACUGAGGUACGGUCCAGACGCCUGCGGUGGGCAGCAGUGGGGAAUAGUGGAAAGUGGGCUACAGCCUGAUGCAGCGACUCAGGGAGGCGGUUGAAUGCCUUCGGGUUGUAAUCUUCUUUUACUAUGAGCAAGGCAUGCCAGUGGGUGUGUGGCGUGAAGGGGUGGAUUAGCGCCGGCUAACUACGUG
rnacentral:rRNA from 1 species